rnacentral:rRNA from 1 species
ACUCCUGCGGGAGGCAGCAGUGGGGAAUAUUGCACAAUGGGCGCAAGCCUGAUGCAGCGACGCCGCGUGGGGGAUGAAGGCCUUCGGGUUGUAAACUCCUUUCGCUAGGGACGAAGCUUUUUUGUGACGGUACCUAGAUAAGAAGCACCGGCUAACUACGUGCCAGCAGCCGCGGUAAUACGUAGGGUGCGAGCGUUGUCCGGAAUUACUGGGCGUAAAGGGCUCGUAGGUGGUUUGUCGCGUCGUCUGUGAAAUUCUGGGGCUUAACUCCGGGCGUGCAGGCGAUACGGGCAUAACUUGAGUGCUGUAGGUGUAACUGGAAUUCCUGGUGUAGCGGUGAAAUGCGCAGAUAUCAGGAGGAACACCGAUGGCGAAGGCAGGUUACUGGGCAGUUACUGACGCUGAGGAGCGAAAGCAUGGGUAGCGAACAGGAUUAGAAACCCCAGUAGUCCCAUGA